rnacentral:rRNA from 1 species
UACGGAGGAGGCAAGCGUUAUCCGGAAUUAUUGGGCGUAAAGCGUCCGUAGGUGGCACUUCAAGUCUGCGGUCAAAGACCGGGGCUUAACCCUGGAAAGGCCGUGGAAACUGAAGUGCUAGAGUGCAGUAGGGGUAGAGGGAAUUCCCGGUGUAGCGGUGAAAUGCGUAGAGAUCGGAAAGAACACCAACGGCGAAAGCACUCUGCUGGGCCGACACUGACACUGAGAGACGAAAGCUAGGGGAGCGAAUGGG